CCUACGGGAGGCAGCAGUGGGGAAUAUUGCACAAUGGGGGAAACCCUGAUGCAGCGACGCCGCGUGAGUGAAGAAGUAUUUCGGUAUGUAAAGCUCUAUCAGCAGGGAAGAAAUAGCGACCUUUGGGUCGCCAGACGGUACCCGAUUAAGAAGCCCCGGCUAACUACGUGCCAGCAGCCGCGGUAAUACGUAGGGGGCAAGCGUUAUCCGGAUUUACUGGGUGUAAAGGGAGCGUAGACGGCAGCGCACGUCUGAAGUGAAAUACCGGGGCUUAACCCCGGAACUGCUUUGGAAACUGUGCAGCUGGAGUGCAGGAGAGGUAAGUGGAAUUCCUGGUGUAGCGGUGGAAUGCGUAGAUAUUAGGAGGAACACCAGAGGCGAAGGCGGCUUACUGGACUGUAACUGACGUUGAGGCUCGAAAGCGUGGGGAGCAAACAGGAUUAGAUACCCCGGUAGUC
rnacentral:rRNA from 1 species